rnacentral:snoRNA from 1 species
ACGCAUCUUUGACAGACCUGGAGCAGUUACUGUCUGCUGCUGAGGUCCCAGUACAGAUGCAAGAGAAAGAGUCCUCGCGCUUUCUGUCUGUCCAUUGUGGCAGCCAAGAUUGAAUGGGGGAAUACAGUG